rnacentral:rRNA from 1 species
UACGAAGGGGGGCUAGCGUUGCUCGGAAUCACUGGGCGUAAAGGGUGCGUAGGCGGGUCUUUAAGUCAGGGGUGAAAUCCUGGAGCUCAACUCCAGAACUGCCUUUGAUACUGAGGAUCUUGAGUUCGGGAGAGGUGAGUGGAACUGCGAGUGUAGAGGUGAAAAUUCGUAGAUAUUCGCAAGAACACCAGUGGCGAAGGCGGCUCACUGGCCCGAUACUGACGCUGAGGCACGAAAGCUAGGGGAGCAAACGGG